UACGUAGGGUGCGAGCGUUGUCCGGAAUUAUUGGGCGUAAAGAGCUCGUAGGCGGUCUGUCGCGUCGAUCGUGAAAACUUGGGGCUUAACCCUGAGCUUGCGGUCGAUACGGGCAUGACUGGAGUUCGGCAGGGGAGACUGGAAUUCCUGGUGUAGCGGCGAAAUGCGCAGAUAUCAGGAGGAACACCGGUGGCGAAGGCGGGUCUCUGGGCCGAUGAUCUGACGCUGGAGGAGCGAAAGCGUGGGGAGCGAACAGG
rnacentral:rRNA from 1 species